AAAAUCUCGUCAAUUAAGUUUGCUAGCUUUGGAACACCAGAAGGGGCUUGUGGAAACUAUCGUGAAGGAAGCUGUCACGCCUUUCACUCAUAUGAUGCUUUUAACAGGCUUUGUGUUGGGCAGAACUGGUGCUCAGUAACUGUAGCACCUGAAAUGUUUGGAGGAGAUCCAUGCCCAAACGUCAUGAAGAAACUAGCCGUGGAGGCCAUUUGCAGUUGAUGACAUGUGGAGUAGUCGAAAUACAGGAAGGUUCCUGAUUAGUUUUCUCACACUUCAACACAGCAGCUUCAAUAUAUUAUUAUUAUUUUUUGGGUAAAUUAAGCUUCAUAGGUAAGACCCCCACCACCACCUCCACCAUUUAUUCGGCUUUUACAGGGUGAAGUUGUACAAAUAUACAGCACACCUUCUGGUCAAAAGCCGACGGAGAUUGUGAAAAUGAUUGCAGACAAGCCUUGUGUAUAUAAAUUACCUAUUAUUUAAUGUUUAUGCUCUUCACGCUGAACGCAAGCAAAGGAGAGGGGUUUGACAGAAGCACAUCGUGACGAAGUUAAUCAAGUCCGUGCGCAAAAUUUAUUAGUUUUAGAACAUGAAAGCCUCUGGUUUCCAGUAAUCUUAUAUUUUCUUUUUAUUGCAUGUAACUUCCUGGCAAGCAAUUGCUUCAUUGCUUUGUUCUUGUAAGAAAGUUUCUUGAGUUUUGAGAAAGUGAUACCAAGCUUAUCAAUUGUGUCGUUGAUUCGUGAUCAUUUUCUCAAAACUCAAGAAACUUUCUUAC
rnacentral:misc_RNA from 1 species